rnacentral:tRNA from 2 species
CCCUGGUUAGUUCAGUUGGUAGAGCACUCCACCUGUAAUGGAGAGGUCCCGGGUUCGAUACCCGGACCAGGCA